AUAUCUAUUUAGGGUAAACUUUAAAUAUUAUUCAUGUGAUUUCGUACUUUCUUACUUUAGUAUCAUUUGGUUUAAAGUGUAUCAAUUUAGUACCCUAUGGUUUCAUUUUUCUCUUUUCGCCAGCCCCUCUGUUAACUUUUCGUUAAAUCAUAUACAAAAAAGUUCACAUACCCUACCUAUAUAUAUAGUUCAUCGGAUAUUCACUUUACUACCCCUUAGUUUUAACUUUGUCAUUAAUUUAACAAAAAAAAUUAGUAGAUGGAAUAAUAAAAAGAAAAAAGUAAAACCACGGAAUACUAAAGUGAGAAAGUGCGAAACCACAGGGAUGGUAUUUGAAGUUUUUCGAUCCUAUAUUAUAUUCUUUUGGCGUCUUAUUUUUGAGAUAUUCAAUCUUUGUACUCUGUCUUCGGUAUUAAUAAAGUUUUUGCUCUGUCUUCGCCCGUGGACGUAGGCGGUUGGCCGAACCACAUAAUUUCAGUGUACUCAUUCCUUUUCUUUUCUUUUUUUGUGUUAAUUAUUUUUUCGCCGUUCCGAUUUUAAC
rnacentral:lncRNA from 1 species